AUUGAACGCUGGCGGCAGGCCUAACACAUGCAAGUCGAACGGUAACAGGAAGCAGCUUGCUGCUUCGCUGACGAGUGGCGGACGGGUGAGUAGUGUCUGGGAAACUGCCUGAUGGAGGGGGAUAACUACUGGAAACGGUAGCUAAUACCGCAUAACGUCGCAAGACCAAAGAGGGGGACCUUAGGGCCUCUUGCCAUCGGAUGUGCCCAGAUGGGAUUAGCUAGUAGGUGGGGUAACGGCUCACCUAGGCGACGAUCCCUAGCUGGUCUGAGAGGAUGACCAGCCACACUGGAACUGAGACACGGUCCAGACUCCUACGGGAGGCAGCAGUGGGGAAUAUUGCACAAUGGGCGCAAGCCUGAUGCAGCCAUGCCGCGUGUAUGAAGAAGGCCUUCGGGUUGUAAAGUACUUUCAGCGGGGAGGAAGGGAGUAAAGUUAAUACCUUUGCUCAUUGACGUUACCCGCAGAAGAAGCACCGGCUAACUCCGUG
rnacentral:rRNA from 1 species